GACGAACGCUGGCGGCGUGCUUAACACAUGCAAGUCGAACGGAAAGGCCCUGCUUUUGUGGGGCGCUCGAGUGGCGAACGGGUGAGUAACACGUGAGUAACCUGCCCUUGACUUUGGGAUAACUUCAGGAAACUGGGGCUAAUACCGGAUAGGAGCUCCUGCUGCAUGGUGGGGGUUGGAAAGUUUCGGCGGUUGGGGAUGGACUCGCGGCUUAUCAGCUUGUUGGUGGGGUAGUGGCUUACCAAGGCUUUGACGGGUAGCCGGCCUGAGAGGGUGACCGGCCACAUUGGGACUGAGGUACGGCCCAGACUCCUACGGGAGGCAGCAGUGGGGAAUAUUGCACAAUGGGCGGAAGCCUGAUGCAGCAACGCCGCGUGCGGGAUGACGGCCUUCGGGUUGUAAACCGCUUUCGCCUGUGACGAAGCGUGAGUGACGGUAAUGGGUAAAGAAGCACCGGCUAACUACGUGCCAGCAGCCGCGGUGAUACGUAGGGUGCGAGCGUUGUCCGGAUUUAUUGGGCGUAAAGGGCUCGUAGGUGGUUGAUCGCGUCGGAAGUGUAAUCUUGGGGCUUAACCCUGAGCGUGCUUUCGAUACGGGUUGACUUGAGGAAGGUAGGGGAGAAUGGAAUUCCUGGUGGAGCGGUGGAAUGCGCAGAUAUCAGGAGGAACACCAGUGGCGAAGGCGGUUCUCUGGGCCUUUCCUGACGCUGAGGAGCGAAAGCGUGGGGAGCGAACAGGCUUAGAUACCCUGGUAGUCCACGCUGUAAACGGUGGGUACUAGGUGUGGGGUCCAUUCCACGGGUUCCGUGCCGUAGCUAACGCUUUAAGUACCCCGCCUGGGGAGUACGGCCGCAAGGCUAAAACUCAAAGGAAUUGACGGGGCCCCGCACGAGCGGCGGAGCAUGCGGAUUAAUUCGAUGCAACGCGUAGAACCUUACCUGGGUUUGACAUGGAUCGGGAGCGCUCAGAGAUGGGUGUGCCUCUUUUGGGGUCGGUUCACAGGUGGUGCAUGGCUGUCGUCAGCUCGUGUCGUGAGAUGUUGGGUUAAGUCCCGCAACGAGCGCAACCCUUGUUCACUGUUGCCAGCACGUUAUGGUGGGGACUCAGUGGAGACCGCCGGGGUCAACUCGGAGGAAGGUGGGGAUGACGUCAAGUCAUCAUGCCCCUUAUGUCCAGGGCUUCACGCAUGCUACAAUGGCUGGUACAGAGAGUGGCGAGCCUGUGAGGGUGAGCGAAUCUCGGAAAGCCGGUCUCAGUUCGGAUUGGGGUCUGCAACUCGACCUCAUGAAGUCGGAGUCGCUAGUAAUCGCAGAUCAGCAACGCUGCGGUGAAUACGUUCCCGGGGCU
rnacentral:rRNA from 1 species